CGAAGCCGACGUGAGACCUUCCUGCUUGAACAGACUUGCCCUAGGGCGAGGCACUUUAAGCUGCGGAGGCGUUGCAUUGGAAGAGUUUUAAAAUUUAUACCUUUUGAAUUGUAUCCUGUCAGUUUUAAUUAUAGUAAUGACUCAAGAAACAUCAGUAGGUAUGCAGAGCUGUGGCCGAAUCUGGAGAUCCAGAAAUGAACAAAAGUUCUUGGCUCCACAGGUCUUGUUAACAGGGUGUGUGGAGUUCAGAUCAGUUCAGUUCAGUCGCUCAGUCGUGUCCGACUCUUUGCGACCCCAUGGACUGCAGCACGCCAGGCCUCCCUGUCCAUCACCAACUCCCGGAGUUUACCCAAACUCAUGUCCAUUGAGUCGGUGAUGCCAUCCAACCAUCUGUGUGGAUUUGAAGGGUAGUAGCACUGAGCAGUGGGCCCUCUGAGGUGAGAAAGGAUUGGGCGACACUCUGGUAGCUUGAGGAUCACCUCCAAGGUCUCUCCCAUCCAGAUAUAUUUAACUGAGAGUGCCAUCCAGGAUGUCACAUGACAGUAGAUCAUCCUGUCUCCUGGAGCUUCCCUUGGCUGUGACAGUUGGUCGGGCUUUCCUUGCUUUUCAAGACCUUGACAGUUUGGAGGAGGACUGGUCAGGUAUGUUGUAGAAUGUCCCUUGACUGGAAUAUGUCUACCACGCAUGAUGUUUACUCUCAUGGCUAAGCUUCACUAUGUAUGAAUGACUCAUUUCAUCAUCCCAGACGAAAGCAGUCAGGCACAGAGAGGUCAAGGAACUUCACCAAAGUCACACAGCUAGCAAAUGACAGAAGCAGUGAUCAAACUUCAGGUUGACAUGCCUUCAUGCCAUACACUGACUUGGCCUCCCCAGCUCCUAGCUGCUGAAUUCUUGACAUUGAAAUCAUUCCCUUUAAAGCUAUCAGGGUGACUUGUUUGGUAACUGCUCUUGCAUACAGUUUUACAUAAUUUACUGAUAAAUUUCAUUAGGUGAGAGCUUUUCUCCAGUAGUUAUUUGCUGAACUAUUUGUGUCACUUCAAUGGCUGCUUUGUAGGGCAGUUGGUUAAUCCAGAAAGGAUGUCACUAGAAAAUAUUCAACAACCCAUUUCUCAGCAUGGUUCUCAAACUGCACACUUGGUGUCUACAGUGGUCACCUGGACCACUUGUUACACACACACUACGCCCGGGUAGGAUGUCCUUUUUGGGCUGGUUGGCCCAGGAUGUGGUGCUAGAAACCCAUGGGACAGUCUGGGCAAUCCUGGGUGGUUUGUCAUCCUACCACAGAAUUCUGGGACUCACUCAGGCCCAGAAAUUCUGCUUUUAAACAAACUAUGCAAGGAAUUAUUCUAAGCACAGAGAAGUUGGAGACCCAGUGCAUUGGAUAUGGAAAUGAAUUGCUGAAAUUGCUGGGGACGAAUUUCUGGAAAUAACUGAGAGGACCUCAAUUUUCAUAUCUUUUGGUUUGUCUGCUUCUGCCUGGAGUUGAGGUAGAAUAAUCUCAUCCAGCCUCUGGCCCUGAUAACACCUGGGGAUUCUUUUGCCCUCCAGGUAAGAAAUAGGCAGUAGAGUACUUCUCCAGUUCCACCUUUGAGUUGAGGGAUGAUGGAAGCUCUUAAAAGACAUAAGGUCCUUAGGAGGUCAUUAUUUAUCAGUUAGGAUUAAUGAAUUUAUAUUAACUUGUGGUGGUGGUUCUCAAUCUUGGCAGCUCAAUAGAAUCACCAGGGAGCAUUUAAAAAUUCUAAUGCCCAGGUUCACCUCAGACCAAUUUCACCAGAAUCUCUGGGACUGAAACCCAGGCACCAGUAGUUUUAGAGUUUGAGACCCAUGGAUCCAAAGCAGUACUGUCCGGUAGAAACAAUACCUGAGGCAUUAUAUUCCAGUAGUCAUAUUUUUAAAAGUAAAAGAGAAGCACUUUUACUUCACUAAAAGUGAACUUUUUAACUCAACAUAUCUGAAAUUGUAUUUUAACCUCAAAUCAUUCUAGAAAAUGUGACCCGUGUUGCAUACAUUUUUUUCAUGCCAGGUCUUUUGAAAUCUGGUGUGUAUUUUACAUUUAGAGCACUUUCUCAAUUCAGAUACUAAGUUUUCAUCGGAAAUACUUGAUCUGUAUUUAGAUUCAUAUAUCAGAGUUGUUCCCAACAUAUUUAGAAGUAUUCCAGUAAUGGAAUAAAGUAUUACAUUUUAGAUUUACAUUUUGAUAAUUAUAAUAAGGCAGUUUCUCAGUCUCACUAAUCACAUGUCAGUUGAAUAGACGAGUGGCUCAUUGCCGCUUGUACUGGGUAGCGUGGAUCUAGGGCAGUCCUUCUCAGACUUGAAUUUCUACACACAGACCACCAGGGAAUCUCGUUAAAAUCUUGGUAUUGAUUCACGAGAUCUGGGUGGAGUCUGAGACUCUGGAUCUCUAACAAGCUCCCAGGUGCUGGUGCUACUGAUAUAGGGACCACACUUGGAGCAGGCAGGGACUAGAGGCAUCGUGCAGGAGGGCUGCCGCAACUGAUUUCUUCACUUGCUUAGUGAUGGUAUUCACCCAUUUCAAAGGCUAGGAAAUGUGUGUUGGUAUGAAUAAAUCAGUAUAUGAAACAGACAGGUAGACAACACAACAUAACACACAUGAGUAUGUAUCUGAAGUGUGUGUGUGUGUGUGUAUAAAAUGUCUGAUCAUGUCUAGACACAUGAGUAAGCUCUGCAAAUAGAACUGUUGAGUACUACAUGUGUUAUUUAUCUUCUUUACUUUCUUUCAAAUUCAACUGGCUCUUCUUUGGUUCACUGGAAGGGAACAACAGCUGAAUGUUUACUCUUGAUUUAAGUCCCUGUGUUCCCUUGUUUGCUUUUUUAAAUGAGUGCAGUAGGUUUCUGCAUUGUGUUUCAGUGUUUGAAGGUAUUUAAAAAGUAUUUGAUGACCCAGGCUCUCUGUGGUUUGUGUACAGUUCACAGUAAAUUCCAGUUCCUUUUGUUGCCCUUGUACUUCUCUGUGGAAAUUGUGUGCCCCAGUACUUGUGUUUAUUUUUAUAGAUGCUUUUUUAUUCUUCUCUCGACAUCAGUAUGGAAAGGUUAUGUGUUGCUUCUGAAGUGUUGUUUCAACACUUAUAGAAUUACUCAAUUCAGUUGGUUCCUCUGAGCCAAAGCUGAUUUAACUCCUAUGCCAAGUUCUAAAAGAUGGAUAAACAAACAAAAAAAAAUUUGAAAAACAGAAACUAAAAAUGAUCUGAGUUUGCUUUUUGAGGAUUUAUAAUUUGAAAAAGCCAUUUGUGUAUGAAAGGCAACCAAAGUCAUAGUGAAAUUAGAGGAACUGGCUUUUUUUGUGUGAGCAAACACCAUUAUUUUCAGCAGUUACUGAAUGAAAUCAGACAAAAGAAGAUAGGGAUGUAGCCAUUAAAAACUUAUGGGGAAAAAGCCAGAGAAAAUAACCCACUAAAAUUGAAGGAAAUAAAAUGAGGAAUAAUAAUUGGGUAUAUCAAAGGAGGAUGGAGAAGAAAAAUUAUUUUUACUUUAAUCCCAACUUUAAUUUUAUUAUCUACUAUUGGCCAGGUGAAGUGGGGAAAUUCUUUUUCUUUGUGGAACAGAUUCUUUAUUCUAUACACAGUUGUAGAGCCACCCAAUUAUAAGGGCUGGCAUUAUCCAUGAAAAUGGCUAUUAGUUCAAAGCUUAAUUCACUGGGUUAGAUUCUAGAGGAUUCAAAAGUCCCAAGGGAGAUCAAGGUGGAGCUGAAUAUUAAAUGAAUAUUUUCUUUAUUUUUGUUUUAACUGCAUGAGUAUCUCUGGGAGAAGUUAGUAUGCUACAUUUGUUAUUUCCUGUGCAUCAUACUGCAUUUAAUUACAGCUAAUAAUAAUAGCUAAUAUUCAUUAACUAAAUAUCAGGGCCUUAUUAAUUGCUUUUUUGCAUUUUAUUUAAUUCUCAUAACAACUUCAUGACAUAGGUACUGUUGGUGUGUAAUUUUUAAAGAGCUAAAAACAGGAGUCUCACACAAAUAGAGAAUGAAUGCUUGUGAAGAAUUUAUUCAACUCAUUAAUGAUGGGAACCCUAAGAGGGUUAAGAUGAUGCCAUGGGCAUUUUGAAGAAUUCGAUAUUUAUAGACAUUUUGAGGGGAAAAUAGCGUGUUAGUAUAAUAUUGCUAGGGUAGAUUCAAAACUGGUUAAAAUCCUGCAGGGCAAUAAAACCAUAACCUUUGAGGUUAUCUUUACCACUGGAUAAAAAUCGAUGUAUUAAUAUAUGACUUCAGAGCGUGUGAGUUCUAAUCAAAUAAAAGAAAGUCAAACAGACAUAUGUUCCCUAGAUAAUUAACUCUUCAGUAGGCAGGUUAGUGCUCCAGUAAGAUUUUAAAAGGUCAUGCCACAGCCCAUUUCACCUCACUCAAAGUUGGUGAUAAUUUUCUUCAGAAAAUUAAAAUUAUCCACACUUUACUAAUGGAGAAAAUUGAUGCUUACAGAUGUUAAAUAACAUGAUAAGGGAAUCACAGUAAGGGCAGAGCAAGACUGGAACUCGGGUCCUUCUGACCCUUUCAGUUCAGUCGCUCAGUUGUGUCUGACUCUUUGUGACCCCAUGAAUUGCAGCAUGCCAGGUCUCCCUGUUCAUCACCAACUCCCUUUAACCAACCCUUAUACUAGUUGCAAUCCAUUUUGACCUGUCUUCCAUAAUUCUUUGAUUAUUGUGUGUGUGCCCACGUGUGGGUGUGUAUGUGGGGGUACACACAUGUGGGGAGGGAGGGUGGAAAGAAUGAGAGAGGAUUUGGAAAUUAGUAUUCUUAACUGGAUACUG
ensembl:lncRNA